ACGAACGCUGGCGGCGUGCUUAACACAUGCAGGUCGAACGAAAAGAGGGAAAGAGCUUGCUCUUUCCGGAAUUGAGUGGCAGACGGGUGAGUAACACGUAAACAACCUGCCUUCAGGAUGGGGACAACAGACGGAAACGACUGCUAAUACCGAAUAAGUUCCAAGGGCCGCAUGGCCCAUGGAAGAAAAGGUGGCCUCUACCUGUAAGCUAUCGCCUGAAGAGGGGUUUGCGUCUGAUUAGCUGGUUGGAGGGGUAACGGCCCACCAAGGCGACGAUCAGUAGCCGGUCUGAGAGGAUGAACGGCCACACUGGAAUUGAGACACGGUCCAGACUCCUACGGGAGGCAGCAGUGGGGAAUCUUCCGCAAUGGGCGAAAGCCUGACGGAGCAACGCCGCGUGAGUGAUGACGGCCUUCGGGUUGUAAAACUCUGUGAUCCGGGACGAAAAGGCAGAGUGCGAAGAACAAACUGCAUUGACGGUACCGGAAAAGCAAGCCACGGCUAACUACGUG
rnacentral:rRNA from 1 species